rnacentral:rRNA from 1 species
AGUUUGAUCCUGGCUCAGGAUGAACGCUAGCUACAGGCUUAACACAUGCAAGUCGAGGGGCAGCAUUGGAGUAGCAAUACUUCAGAUGGCGACCGGCGCACGGGUGAGUAACACGUAUCCAACCUGCCGCUUACUCGGGGAUAGCCUUUCGAAAGAAAGAUUAAUACCCGAUGGUAUAAAGAGUUCGCAUGUUCUCUUUAUUAAAGAAUUUCGGUAAGCGAUGGGGAUGCGUUCCAUUAGAUAGUUGGCGGGGUAACGGCCCACCAAGUCUACGAUGGAUAGGGGUUCUGAGAGGAAGGUCCCCCACAUUGGAACUGAGACACGGUCCAAACUCCUACGGGAGGCAGCAGUGAGGAAUAUUGGUCAAUGGACGCGAGUCUGAACCAGCCAAGUAGCGUGAAGGAUGACUGCCCUAUGGGUUGUAAACUUCUUUUAUAAGGGAAUAAAGUGAGGGACGUGUCCCUUUUUGUAUGUACCUUAUGAAUAAGGAUCGGCUAACUCCGUGCCAGCAGCCGCGGUAAUACGGAGGAUCCGAGCGUUGUCCGGAUUUAUUGGGUUUAAAGGGAGCGUAGGUUGACAUAUAAGUCAGCUGUGAAAGUUUACGGCUCAACCGUGAAAUUGCAGUUGAUACUGUAUGUCUUGAGUGUACAAGAGGUGGGCGGAAUUCGUGGUGUAGCGGUGAAAUGCUUAGAUAUCACGAAGAACUCCAAUUGCGAAGGCAGCUCACUGGGGUACAACUGACACUGAGGCUCGAAAGUGUGGGUAUCAAACAGGAUUAGAUACCCUGGUAGUCCACACAGUAAACGAUGAAUACUCGCUGUUUGCGAUAUACAGUAAGCGGCCAAGCGAAAGCAUUAAGUAUUCCACCUGGGGAGUACGCCGGCAACGGUGAAACUCAAAGGAAUUGACGGGGGCCCGCACAAGCGGAGGAACAUGUGGUUUAAUUCGAUGAUACGCGAGGAACCUUACCCGGGCUUGAAUUGCAGAGGAACAUAGUUGAAAGAUUAUGGCCGCAAGGUCUCUGUGAAGGUGCUGCAUGGUUGUCGUCAGCUCGUGCCGUGAGGUGUCGGCUUAAGUGCCAUAACGAGCGCAACCCUUAUCAUUAGUUACUAACAGGUCAUGCUGAGGACUCUAGUGAGACUGCCGUCGUAAGAUGUGAGGAAGGUGGA